rnacentral:rRNA from 1 species
GGGGCGAGCCUGAUGGAGCACGCCGCGUGAGUGAAGAAGGAUUUCGGUUCGUAAAACUCUGUUGUAAGGGAAGAACAAGUACAGUAGUAACUGGCUGUACCUUGACGGUACCUUAUUAGAAAGCCACGGCUAACUACGUGCCAGCAGCCGCGGUAAUACGUAGGUGGCAAGCGUUGUCCGGAAUUAUUGGGCGUAAAGCGCGCGCAGGUGGUUUCUUAAGUCUGAUGUGAAAGCCCACGGCUCAACCGUGGAGGGUCAUUGGAAACUGGGAGACUUGAGUGCAGAAGAGGAUAGUGGAAUUCCAAGUGUAGCGGUGAAAUGCGUAGAGAUUUGGAGGAACACCAGUGGCGAAGGCGACUAUCUGGUCUGUAACUGACACUGAGGCGCGAAAGCGUGGGGAGCAAACAGGAUUAGAUACCCUGGUAGUCCACGCCGUAAACGAUGAGUGCUAAGUGUUAGGGGGUUUCCGCCCCUUAGUGCUGCAGCUAACGCAUUAAGCACUCCGCCUGGGGAGUACGGUCGCAAGACUGAAACUCAAA